GUCUUAUUGAAUUUAAAAUAAUAAGUUUGUUCUGCCCAUUGAAUUAAAUAUUUUAAAAGGCUGCAGUAAUUUAACUGUACAAAGGUAGCAUAAUCAAUAGUUUUUUAAUUGAAAACUUGAAUGAAAGAAUUGAUAAAAUAUUAGUUGUCUCAAAUUUAAAUAAUUGAAUUUAUAUUUAAAGUUAAAAUUCUUUAAUUAAUUUAUUAGACGAUAAGACCCUAAGAAUUUUAUAAUUUAUUUAUUAUUUAUUAAAUUAGUUUAAUUUAAAAUUUAUAAUUUAAUUAUUUUAUUGGGAGGGUAAUUAAAAAUUUAAACUUUAAUUAAAUUUAAACUUUGAUAAAUGAGUUUAAUGAUUAUUAUUAUAGUUAUUAGAAUAAAUUACCUUAGGGAUAACAGCGUAAUAAUUUUGGAAAGUUCAUAUUGAUAAAAUUGGUUGCGACCUCGAUGUUGAAUUAAAAUAAAAAUUAAAUGGAGAAGUUUAAGGUUUUAGUCUGUUCGACUAUUAAAUUUUUACAU
rnacentral:rRNA from 1 species